rnacentral:lncRNA from 1 species
AAUGGAAAGAUCUAAUCCUAUGGCCUUCCUAGAGGCCGUUUGAGCUAAAGUUUUAAAUAACAAACUUGUGAACAAAUACCUGACGAACCUUCUGAUAAAAUUUCAUGAUUUGUGGAUGAGUAACUUAAGAUUUAUAGUAAUUAAAAGAGCAUGAUAUGACUGUUAGUGUUCAGUUUCUUUAAGUUGGUCAUUUGCUAAAAUUGUUGUGUGAACCCAAUGUAUUGCUUAGAAUGAUGUGAGGAAUCAUUAUGUUGCAUCCAUGCAUUGCAUACAUCUUAAUGUACCUAAAAGAAAAUCAUGAUAAAAUAGUUUUCCAACCUUUGGUUUUCUUGCUUUUUGGAUGUCCAGCUUUGAGCCCAGCUCAAGUAAUCUGCUUGCUGUCCAAGAAUUGACUAUGCCAUCUUUAUCACUCUCAACACUUGGUGCAUGUGAUCUCCUCAAGUAUUUCCAACCCCGAUC